rnacentral:piRNA from 1 species
UCCAGGUCAGAAACUUGUAUCUCC